UUCACGCGCGCGAGGCUGUUCCGCUAAUGCACACAGGGCUUGGACAAAAUAACCAAAACAACACAAGAAAAAUGACUUCAAUUUUGAAGCGACAGAAUCGCAAUUAGAAAAGCAAUUGCGCAGAUUCUCAGGCAGAAAACAAAGUGUCCAGGUGGGUGGCAAACAGUCAGCGACCCAAAGCUGAUCAUUAGGAGUGCCACAGGGGGCGACGUGGCUCGGGCAGUAAGAGCAGUCGUCUGGCAGUCGGAGGGUUGCCGGUUCGAACCCCCGCCUGGGCUGUGUCGAAGUGUCCCUGAGCAAGACACCUAAAUGCUCCUGAUGAGCUGGUCGGUGCCUUGCAUGGCAGCCAAUCGCCGUUGGUGUGUGAA